UUUUGAGAAUCGGCUGGCAUCAGAGUGCUGACUGACAAACUUCCCGGGGUCUGGGCAUUGUGGGGACGGAGCCUGCAGACGGUGGUGUCCUCGCUAGGAGAGCCGUGGGGACGUGAUUAACAGUUACAAGCUAUUGAGGCACUCCAGAGUGACAGCAUGUGAUCCCCCUGACACAAGAAACAGGCCCAGAUAACACACCGUUCAGACCGACAGCAGUUCUGGUUAUGCUACAGUACAUCAGAAGUGUGCUCUUAUCCAUCCACAGUUCUUAUCACAGUUACUUAUGCAUACAUUUAUUUUUUAUACAAAAGAAUCUUGAAUCGGUCACUUAAGAAAUAUUGAACCUCAAUAACAAAAAAUACUGAAAGUAUA
rnacentral:lncRNA from 1 species